rnacentral:rRNA from 1 species
GACGAACGCUGGCGGCGUGCCUAACACAUGCAAGUCGAACGGGGUAAUUACUUCGGUGAUUACUUAGUGGCGAACGGGUGAGUAACGCGUGAGAAACCUGCCUUUCAGUGGGGGACAACAGUUGGAAACGACUGCUAAUACCGCAUAAUGUUAUUUGGGGGCAUCCCUGAAUAACCAAAGAUUUAUUGCUGAAAGAUGGUCUCGCGUCUGAUUAGCUAGUUGGUGAGGUAACGGCUCACCAAGGCGACGAUCAGCAGCCGGACUGAGAGGUUGAACGGCCACAUUGGGACUGAGACACGGCCCAG